CUUGACCGAGCCUAGCCACAGUGGCCGCCCGUCGCGGCGCUGCCGGCCGUAGGUGGCGAGCAGCGCCUCGGCCUC
rnacentral:antisense_RNA from 1 species